GGAAGUUCUCUGGUGACAUACCUCAGAAUUGGGCUCCAUCCCUUCUGGUUCUAGGUGUGUCACCUGAGAACCGCG
rfam:Myotis davidii contig137276, whole genome shotgun sequence.